rnacentral:rRNA from 1 species
UGGGGAAUUUUGGACAAUGGGCGAAAGCCUGAUCCAGCAAUGCCGCGUGUGUGAAGAAGGCCUUCGGGUUGUAAAGCACUUUUGUCCGGAAAGAAAUCCUUGGCUCUAAUACAGUCGGGGGAUGACGGUACCGGAAGAAUAAGCACCGGCUAACUACGUGCCAGCAGCCGCGGUAAUACGUAGGGUGCAAGCGUUAAUCGGAAUUACUGGGCGUAAAGCGUGCGCAGGCGGUUUGCUAAGACCGAUGUGAAAUCCCCGGGCUCAACCUGGGAACUGCAUUGGUGACUGGCAGGCUAGAGUAUGGCAGAGGGGGGUAGAAUUCCACGUGUAGCAGUGAAAUGCGUAGAGAUGUGGAGGAAUACCGAUGGCGAAGGCAGCCCCCUGGGCCAAUACUGACGCUCAUGCACGAAAGCGUGGGGAGCAAACAGGAUUAGAUACCCCUGGUAGUCCCACGCCCUAAACGAUGUCAACUAGUUGUUGGGGAUUCAUUUCC